CAGGCAUGUAAGUUGUCUACAGGUCUAUACCUAUAUAAAAAGUCCACUAUCGCUGUGGACAUCAUAUCACUUGGUGCUAAACAACAAAGACAAAAUGAACAAUCUGGCUGUUGUGUUGUGUGUUGUCUUGGUCUGCUCAUGCACCAUUCAAGCCCAAUUCCUGAGUGGUUUGACAUCCGGCCAGGCAUUUGGCCUAGGAUUGGGACUUCCGUUCUUCUUAGGAGGAAUUGGUAGAGGAUUAAGUGGACGUGGAGGUGUUGGAUACCCAAUUCCCCCACCACCACAACCAUUCCUUCUCCCACCACCAGUCUACCAGCCAAUCACCGUCCACCGCAGAAGAUACGUCAGAUAUUGAAGAAACAGCGAAAAACAAGAAGAAUGAAGAUAAUGUUAGAACUCUUAACAACAGCCACGUGUAAACAAACAGCACCAACAACAAAUACUAUCAAUAAAUGUCAUGUUUUUUA